rnacentral:rRNA from 1 species
UACGUAGGGGGCAAGCGUUGUCCGGAAUCAUUGGGCGUAAAGCGCGUGUAGGCGGCCCGGUAAGUCCGCUGUGAAAGUCGGGGGCUCAACCCUCGAAUGCCGGUGGAUACUGUCGGGCUAGAGUGCGGAAGAGGCGAGUGGAAUUCCUGGUGUAGCGGUGAAAUGCGCAGAUAUCAGGAGGAACACCAAUUGCGAAGGCAGCUCGCUGGGACGUAACUGACGCUGGAGACGCGAAAGCGUGGGGAGCAAACAGG